GGGCGUUUGGUGUAGUGGUAUCACUCAUGCUUUGCACGAGUACGCUGGUAUUUCAACGUACGAGAAUCUGUAUGCGGUCAUGGGUUCAAACCCCAUAGCGUCCA